UUUGAAUUAGCUCAAGAGCUAAGAGGGCCACAAUUGGACAAGGGGAAGGAAAAAGUGAUCGAAUAGCCGUAAAAGCCGUUCGACAACAUCCGAGAUUUCGCUCGAUAGCAAUCGGAUUCGGGAUCAAUAAAGUCGAAGUCAUCCACACUAUCAACGUCUCUAUUUUGGUAUAAAUUUUUGGUUGAACUUUGAAAUGGCAUGUAUAGGACUACCCCUUGUUGGUUAAAUAUGUUGUGAUGUAUUUGUGUACGGCCAUGCGAAAAUGGCUCGUAAAAGUGAAGUAUCGACUUAGACUAUUUGCGGUUUGUAUAUGUAUAUAUUUGGUGUCAUGAUGUGACCAUGGAUUGGAAAUGGGAAUGUUGGUCACAUGAUCAGCCAUUGGCAUGGUUAAAAUGA